rnacentral:rRNA from 1 species
UACGAAGGGGGCUAGCGUUGCUCGGAAUCACUGGGCGUAAAGGGUGCGUAGGCGGGUUCUUAAGUCAGAGGUGAAAUCCUGGAGCUCAACUCCAGAACUGCCUUUGAUACUGAGAGGCUCGAGUCCGGGAGAGGUGAGUGGAACUGCGAGUGUAGAGGUGAAAUUCGUAGAUAUUCGCAAGAACACCAGUGGCGAAGGCGGCUCACUGGCCCGAUACUGACGCUGAGGCACGAAAGCGUGGGGAGCAAACAGG